AAGAAAUUAGUUAAUUUAUAACAUUAGUAUGUCAUACUAAAAUUAUUAAAGCAUUAAUAUUUCUUU
rnacentral:tRNA from 1 species